rnacentral:rRNA from 1 species
GAGUUUGAUCGUGGCUCAGAUUGAACGCUGGCGGCAUGCCUUACACAUGCAAGUCGAACGGCAUCACGGGAGCUUGCUCCUGGUGGCGAGUGGCGAACGGGUGAGUAAUGCAUCGGAACGUAUCCUGGAGUGGGGGAUAACGUAGCGAAAGUUACGCUAAUACCGCAUAUUCUGUGAGCAGGAAAGCGGGGGACCUUCGGGCCUCGCGCUCUUGGAGCGGCCGAUGUCGGAUUAGCUAGUUGGUGAGGUAAAGGCUCACCAAGGCGACGAUCCGUAGCAGGUCUGAGAGGAUGAUCUGCCACACUGGAACUGAGACACGGUCCAGACUCCUACGGGAGGCAGCAGUGGGAAUUUUGGACAAUGGGGGCAACCCUGAUCCAGCCAUGCCGCGUGAGUGAAGAAGGCCGU